CUUUGCCCUUCGUAGAAUCACAGAUUUCACUGAAUUAAAUACUUAGAUAAACGAUGUGUUUUUGUAGAUGUUUAAUACGGAUUUGGGGAGGGUCCAGUCAGGAUGAGGAACAUUGCACCAAUUUUUUUAAAAAACUGCAUUUCAGGGGCUGGCCCCGUGGCCGAGUGGUUAAGUUCGCGCGCUCCGCUGCAGGCGGCCCAGUGUUUCGUUGGUUCGAAUCCUGGGCGCGGACAUGACACUGCUCAUCAAACCACGCUGAGGCAGCGUCCCACAUGCCACAACUAGAAGGACCCACAACAAAGAAUAUACAACUACGUACCGGGGGGCUUUGGGGAGAAAAAGGAAAAAAUAAAAUCUUUAAAAAAAAAAAAAAACUGCAUUUCAGGUAGAAGGGAUGGUGUAAGUAAAGGCAAAGAGUCAUGGAGAAACUGCUUUCAAAUAUAAGACCAUUUAAAACCUUUCAUCACUACCUAAUGAACUGCUCAGAACUAGAAACAAAAAUAUGAGUGCUUUUGUCAUUGUUGCUAUCAUCUGCAUUAAAAAAUACUCCAUCCAUAAACUAAACAUUCUUGGCAUUAAUUCUUGGCUAUCUAGAUAAUUAUUUUCAACAGAGAAAAGGCCAGACAUAUUUAAACUGCCCUUGUACAGAACUGCCAAUAAUCUGAAUUUUCCUGACAGAGAAUCUACCACAAUAAGGCAGAAUUUUACCAAAGGCGUGGAAUCAGAUUUAUCCAAAUGGAAAGCCAUUUUGUAUGUCAUUAAUGUUCUUUGUAAUUUUUAGGAGCCCAUGAGUUUAUGCUGUUAAGGUGGGUAGAUGCUCUUCAUUUGUCCAUGCAGGGCAAACAACUGAAAAUAAUUUUUGGUACUUAGUGUAUCUUAAAAUGGUGUCUUUCUUGGUCUACUGGCUGAAUCCAGCCUCAACAAGCUCUUUAAUGAGAAGAGUUAGCACACGCCAGCUUCUCAUUUGAGACGAUAUUCAAGAUAUCAUAUAAGGAUUCUAAUCCUCAAUACCCAGUUGACAUAUGAGACGAUAUUCAAGAUAUCAUAUAAGGAUUCUAAUCCUCAAUACCCAGUUGACAUAUGGAAUUCCUCUCCUCAGGUCACCUCUGAGCCCUCGUGUUGGUUGCUAUGUCCAAUUUUUCCACCCUCUUGGAGGAUGCUGCUAAGGGAAAUUUACCAUUCUUUGUGGUUCCUUCUCGUUCCCUCAUCCCCACAGGCCAAGGAUGACUUAUCUGGUUUGUGGAAUAGGGACAAAAAUUACUGCUCAUGCUCCAUUUCCUUCCUACCAUCCAGAAGCAGACCAGGCAAAACUUCAGCUGGCCCACCUGCAAGUGGGAGGCUGUAUUAGUCAGGGCUCUCCAGAGAGAGAGAACCAAUAGGGAACAUAUAUAGUAUAUAUUUAAUAUACAUUGUAUAUUUAUUACGCAUUUUAUAAUGUGUCUUUAUAUAUAUAUACACACACACACACAGAGAAUUAUU
rnacentral:lncRNA from 1 species